GAUUGCAACUCCAGUCUUCAAGCAUCCACAUAGGCCGGUUUCUUCUGCCGUGCACAUAUCAAGGUAUGGGGGAGCUGCAAGUGUUGCUCGUGGAUUUCGAUCCGUAAACAGGAAAAUGACUUUUCCUCCCUAUACAAGGUGUAAAGUAUACUGCGGUCACGAAGGACCAUGCAGGUGGGGGAAAUUGAUUUACAGUUUCACAGUUUUGUGGCACGAAUGAAGCCGUGCUGCACAGAAGCACACAAAGUGGAUAAUACGAAAAAAAAGAAAGAAAACAAAGCAAACAUGUGGUUGCGGUGCAAUGUAUGAAGUGUACGUGUAGUUGACUGUAUUUACGAAUCUAUCAAGGGAGCAGCAACAUAGGUUGGUUAACGAGGCCUUGAAAGCGGAGAUACAAGACGUGCACGGGAUCAGAAUCACUACGGCUCUUCCCGGCAAAGAAUAGAGCUGUACAUUUUUUAAGUA
rnacentral:lncRNA from 1 species